rnacentral:tRNA from 1 species
CCCAAAAGGGUUUGGGGGAAGGGUCCCGUAAAAAAUUUCCGGUGGUUUGGUUUUUCCCCUUUUGGGUC